GUUUGAUGCCCUGAGUGCAGAGCUGCUGGACUGGAUUUUGAAAUCAAAGACCGCCAUUCAGGCCACAGAGAUAAAAGAAUAUAAGAAGAUGCAAGAGACUUCAGAAAUGAAAAAGAAGUUGAAGGGAAUAGAAAGAGAACAGACAGAAAGAAGACCCAGACUAGAUGAAUUAAACAAAACUGGACAAAUCCUUUUGGAGCAAAUGGGAAAAGAAGGUCUUCCGACUGAAGAUAUAAAGCAUAUCCCGGAGAAGGUAUUAUCAGAAUGGAAGAAUGUAUCUCAGCAUUUGGAGGAUCUGGCAAGAAAGAGUCAGCUCCAGGAAGAUAUAGACACUUACUUUAGGUAACUUGACGAGCUUGACAGGACCAUAAAGACAAAGGAGGAAUGGCUAGAACAUGCCCCCUCUUCAGCAUCCCCCCAGCAGGCCUUACGGAGUGCAAAGCGGGAACUGACCAAUCUCCUUGGCCUCCACCCCGGAAUGGAAACGGUGCGUGCCAGCUGCGCAGCCCUCAAGUCUAGGCCUUCUGCCCCCGAUUUUGUCCAGCAGGGCUUUGAAUGCCUCCUGGGCCGCUACCAGUCUGUGCAGCAGGAUUUAGAGGAUCGUCAGCAACAGCUGGAGAACGGUAAACAUGCUGUCUCCUCCAUCGCCUCCCUGUUCGCCCUAAUUUAAAAAUGACUCCCAGUGUUUGGACCUUUAGCACGUUUGCUUGCUUUGUGGGACAUGUGCUCUGUUUUCCUCUGUGCCUGCUACUGUUCCAGGUCAGAAAGCAUAUCCAGGCUAUUUCCUGGAUU